rnacentral:rRNA from 1 species
UACAGAGGGUGCUAGCGUUGUUCGGAAUCAUUGGGCGUAAAGGGCGUGUAGGCGGUUUGUUAAGUCAUGUGUGAAAUCCCUCGGCUCAACCGGGGAACGACGCAUGAAACUGGCAAGCUAGAGUACCAAAGAGGGGGGUGGAAUUCCCGGUGUAGCGGUGAAAUGCGUAGAUAUCGGGAGGAACGUCAAUGGCGAAGGCAGCCACCUGGCAUCAUACUGACGCUGAGGCGCGAAAGCGUGGGGAGCGAACAGG